rnacentral:lncRNA from 1 species
GCCGCCCUUGAAUUCCCCCCUUCUCCAAAAUUCUCUCUCAAGUUCCCUUAGAAACCCUAGUCGCCUCCUUCCACCUCCACCCUGAAGUCACAUGAAUCCAUGGCUUCCAAAGCCAUUAAGAGCCUGUACUUGCUUCCUACAACUCCUACAUGCCUGGUUACUAUGGUUUCAAGGUCAAACCUUGAAGAAGCUUGGCCCAGACUUUAUUUCUUUCGAGUUCUAUGGCUGUCUUCGACCUUGCUCUGGCAACCCAUGGAUAUUCAAGCCCGAUCUUGACUUCUCCGGCUCAGAUCAAUGACUUUCCAAGCCUUUCUCACCACCUUGGUUCUUCUGAAACCCAAACCUUUGAGGUUCUUCUUAUUUUUUUAGAUUCGUUGCAGAUUUGUGUUUUCUCUAAGCUCUAAAGCGUCUCCUCAAAGUUUCUUUCAAAAUUUUACCUGCAAAAUCUUUACCUUUUUCUAAUAUAGGGAUUUGUUAAGUCAUUUAAAAGCUUUUCUGAUUUUUAACAUGUUCUACUAUGUUUCUUAUGUUGUUCUUCUACUGUGUUUUUAUGUUGAUUCUUAUACUUUAUUUCUUCUGAUAUUCUUCUACUGUGUUUAUAUGAAGCCUUAGUUUUUUUUAAUGUUUCUGAUUUUAUUUUGUUUGUUGAUAUUCCUGCCUGAUUUACGUAUUUUCAUCUCUUUACUAGAUCGAUGGGGGAACCUAGAUUUUUUGUUUCAUUCGAGUAUUGAGACUAUUUGUUAUAUGAUUAGUUUGUUCCUCAUCUCUGAACUUGUUUGGUUUCAAAACCCUAAUUUCAUUAGACCUAUGCAAGUUUCUGAAGUUGCUUCAUCUAUUACUCUAUUGAGUUUCGAAAUCUUUGCCUUCUGUGGUUUUGAUUACCUGUUAUUAGUAGAACUCAUCCAUAUUUUCAGAAAAGGUCUUUAAUGGACUCUUUUGCAUGCUUCUGAUACCCUCAUCUCCCUAUUACUAAGUCGGCCUAUGUGACUACCAUGUGUCACUAUCUAAAGACAAUUUAUUUAUUAUUGCUGCUUCUCUUUGCCAUGGUUUAACCUCACAUGCCUAAUGAUCGUGCAUUCUUUAUAUAUGCUAAAUUUCAAUGUGCUAAAUUUCCCUCUCAAAACAACCCUUAAUUGUGGACUGAUUUCAGACCUCCUUGCACAAGUCUUAUUAAUGCUUCCCUUGUCUUACUAAUUUUCCUGUUUCUUAGGUUGAUUUAAAAAACUGUCCAUAGCCUUUCGAUUCUCAUAAUUCUGACUUGGUUCAUUUGUAACUUCGAAUCCUUGACUCCUUGAUUUACUAUGUGCUGAUUAAUUUAUUGUGUUUCUUUCCUUACUUGGUCAACCGUGUAUUUCAAGGAGUCUUAAUCAAUUCUUUCCUUAAUUAAACCCCAUAUGUAUUUACCCUUAAUUGCCUACUUUGCACAAGAUGCUUACUUGAUCUCCUUCCUUGAAAGUUCUCUGCCUUUUACUGUUUGAGUUUAAUCUCUUUAAUUAAAGGAGGUUUUUGUACUGAUUGAUUUUAAUUGGUACACAGUUCCAUAAUUAUUUUUCUGCCUUAGUUUUUGCCUAUUUUCACACUAUAAAUACUUGGAUUUUGCAUUGACAAAACACGAACGCCCUUAGUUUUCUGAACUCACACAUACAUUCAAAAAUCAUUCUCUCUUGUUACUUGCAUUGUGGUUUAUUUUUAUGUCCUACUAUUGCUUUUAAUGUACUUUACCUCUUUGAAACAGGUAUGUCAUGUUUAAGAUUUUCAACAAUCAUCAACAAUGUGUUUAUUUAAUAUUACUUUCAUGUUUGUUUAUUGUUUGUGCUCAGUCCAUUGUUUACUCUAGCAUGUUAUAACUUCCUCUUGCUAUACACCCCAAGCCCCCUACCCCAAUGUGUCUAGAUACUAAUGGUUUAUUUGAGGCAUGAUAGUAUUAAAUAUUAUUAUCUAUAGCUCAAGCUUGAUUCCCCCGGAAUCAUAACCUCUAUGUCACCAUCAUAUGUUAUGUAUUCUUUUUAAUUCUGUAAGCAUAAUAGCACUCUCUAUUGUUGUGUAUGCCCACGAUUAGCUAAUGCCUAAGUACAUAGGCUAUUUGGCAGUUUCCAUAAUCCCUGAACCCUUUGUAUGACUGGUUUAUAAUUGUUCCUAGCACCUCUUCCCCUCUUCUUUACUCUCUGAGUUCUUUAAAACUUUGUUCUUCACUUGCACUCUCUCUUAGAUCUUAAGUUCUUCCCCCUCUUGUGAGCCUUUCCUUGGGACCUAUUGAGCUCCCUCUUAACUUGGACACUUGAGGGUUGGCCCUCCCAUACUGCACUUGUCCCUAUUCUGGUGAAACAAUUUGGCCGUGAGCAUUGCCCCGAGUCCCAUUUAAGGAACUUUGACACACUUAAAUUGGAGAAAGGCUUUGGAUCAUGAUCUUUGGAGUUGGUUUACCUCAUAUUUCAGACAUGAAGUCUGAAUCAAGCUUUCCUUGGUUGUAAUUUUUAAUUUCUGAUGUAUUCUUUUAUCUUUAUUCUGGGCUGUAAUAAUUUUGUAAUAAACUCUUGGGGAUGGCUAAUGAAAAAUGUAGGUAACUAUGUAUGCAAAAG